CCUACGGGGGGCAGCAGUGAGGAAUAUUGGUCAAUGGGCGCUAGCCUGAACCAGCCAAGCCGCGUGAAGGAUGAAGGCCUUAUGGGUUGUAAACUCCUUCUAUAUGGGAAUAAAGUGCAGUAUGUAUACUGCUUUGCAUGUACCUUAUGAAUAAGGAUCGGCUAACUCCGUGCCAGCAGCCGCGGUAAUACGGAGAGUCCGAGCGUUAUCCGGAUUUAAUGGGUUUAAAGGAAGCGGAGGCGGGUUGUUAAGUCAGUUGUGAAAGUUUGCGGCUCAACCGUAAAAUUGCAGUUGAUACUGGCAUCCUUGAGUACAGUAGAGGUAGGCGGAAUUCGUGGUGUAGCGGUGAAAUGCUUAGAUAUCACGAGGAACUCCGAUUGCGAAGGCAGCCUGCUGGACUGUAACUGACGCUGAUGCUCGAAAGUGUGGGUAGCAAACAGGAUUAGAUACCCGAGUAGUC
rnacentral:rRNA from 1 species